ensembl:lncRNA
GGUCCAGUUCCCUGAAGAGGGACCGCUCGGAGCCCCCGCCACGAGAGGUCGGGCCUGGGGUCCAGGUACGGCCCUUUGGGAGCGUGGGCAGAAAGUCCAGACUGGCCCCGGACUUCAGUGACCUCCUCAAAGACCAGAGUCCUGACCUAGUCCAGACAAAGUCCAGACCCGACCAGGUCCAACCUACCAGAGACACGCCCCUGACCCCGCCCAAGUCUGCCCCGCCCAUCAUGGUGUUUGGAGUCCUGGACUCUCUUGAGUACAGUGGAACGAGUGACAUCACCUCCUCCACACCUGUGCAGGUCCUUGGUUCUGAGGAGGGGC